rnacentral:rRNA from 1 species
UACGUAGGCAGCAAGCGUUGUUCGGAAUUACUGGGCGUAAAGGGUGCGUAGGCGGUGCUCUAAGUUUGGUGUGAAAUCUCCCGGCUUAACUGGGAGGGUGCGCCGAAAACUGGAGCGCUUGAGUGCGGGAGAGGAAAGCGGAAUUCCUGGUGUAGCGGUGAAAUGCGUAGAGAUCAGGAGGAACACCUGCGGUGUAGACGGCUUUCUGGACCGUAACUGACGCUGAGGCACGAAAGCGUGGGUAGCGAACGGG